UCGGUAUGUACUGGCUUUACUGAUUCCUCCUUCUUGACGAACUGUGAUGUCAUUAAUUUGGUGUUGCGGGAAAUCAGAACUGUUACUUUGAAAAAAUUAGAGUGUUUAAAGCAGGCUAACGCUUGAAUACAUUAGCAUGGAAUAAUGAAAUAGGACGUUAAUCCUAUUUUGUUGGUUUCUAGGAUCGACGUAAUGAUUAAUAGGGAUAGUUGGGGGCAUUAGUAUUCAAUUGUCAGAGGUGAAAUUCUUGGAUUUAUUGAAGACUAACUACUGCGAAAGCAUUUGCCAAGGAUGUUUUCAUUAAUCAAGAACGAAAGUUAGGGGAUCGAAAACAAUCAAAUACCGUCGUAGUCUUAACCAUAAACUAUGCCAACAAGCGAUCGGAUGAUGUU
rnacentral:rRNA from 1 species